ACGGGGUGCAGCAGGCGCGAAACCUUCGCAAUGCGCGAAAGCGCGACGAGGGGAGCCCGAGUGCCCUUCCUUUUGGGAGGGCUUUUCCGGAGUCUAAAAAGCUCCGGGAAUAAGGGCUGGGCAAGACGGGUGCCAGCCGCCGCGGUAAUACCCGCAGCUCGAGUGGUGGCCACUAUUAUUGAGCCUAAAGCGUCCGUAGCCGGACCCGUAAAUCCCUGGGUAAAUCCUGGCGCUCAACGUCAGGAAUUCCGGGGAGACUGCGGGUCUUGGGACCGGGAGAGGCCGGAGGUACUCCCGGGGUAGGGGUAAAAUCCUGUAAUCCCGGGGGGACCACCUGUGGCGAAAGCGUCCGGCUUGAACGGCUCCGACGGUGAGGGACGAAGGCCAGGGGAGCAAACCGGAUUAGAUACCCGGGUAGUCCUGGCUGUAAACGCUGCCCG
rnacentral:rRNA from 1 species